GCCAGACUCCUACGGGAGGCAGCAGUGGGGAAUAUUGCACAAUGGGCGCAAGCCUGAUGCAGCCAUGCCGCGUGUAUGAAGAAGGCCUUCGGGUUGUAAAGUACUUUCAGCGGGGAGGAAGGUGUUGAGGUUAAUAACCUCAGCAAUUGACGUUACCCGCAGAAGAAGCACCGGCUAACUCCGUGCCAGCAGCCGCGGUAAUACGGAGGGUGCAAGCGUUAAUCGGAAUUACUGGGCGUAAAGCGCACGCAGGCGGUCUGUCAAGUCGGAUGUGAAAUCCCCGGGCUCAACCUGGGAACUGCAUUCGAAACUGGCAGGCUGGAGUCUUGUAGAGGGGGGUAGAAUUCCAGGUGUAGCGGUGAAAUGCGUAGAUAUUAGGAGGAGCACCGGUGGCGAAGGCGGCCUGCUGGACUGUGACUGACGUUGAGGCCCGAAGGCGUGGGGAGCAAACAGGAUUAGAUACCCGUGUA
rnacentral:rRNA from 1 species